rnacentral:rRNA from 1 species
AGAGUUUGAUCAUGGCUCAGAACGAACGCUGGCGGCGUGCCUAACACAUGCAAGUCGAGCGCGAAAGCUCCUUCGGGAGCCUUAAAGCGGCAGACGGGUGAGUAACACGUGGGCAACCUGUCCCUGAGUGGGGGAUAACUACUCGAAAGGGUGGCUAAUACCGCAUAAGACCACGGCCUUGCGGGGCUGAGGUCAAAGGCGCAAGCCGCUUAGGGAGGGGCCCGCGGCCGAUUAGCUAGUUGGUAGGGUAACGGCCUACCAAGGCGACGAUCGGUAGCUGGUCUGAGAGGAUGAUCAGCCACACUGGUACUGAGGCACGGACCAGACUCCUACGGGAGGCAGCAGUGGGGAAUAUUGCGCAAUGGGCGAAAGCCUGACGCAGCAACGCCGCGUGGGUGAUGAAGGCCUUCGGGUCGUAAAGCCCUGUCAGAUGGGACGAAGCAAGUGACGGUACCAUCGAAGGAAGCACCGGCUAACUCCGUGCCAGCAGCCGCGGUAAUACGGAGGGUGCAAGCGUUGUUCGGAAUCACUGGGCGUAAAGGGCGCGUAGGCGGUCCCAAAAGUCUGAUGUGAAAGCCCGGGGCUCAACCCCGGAAGUGCAUUGGAAACUGUGGGACUUGAGUUCGGGAGAGGAAGGCAGAAUUCCCGGUGUAGGGUUGAAAUCCGUAGAUAUCGGGAGGAAAACCGGUGGCGAAGGCGGCCUUCUGGAACGAAACUGACGCUGAGGCGCGAAAGCGUGGGGAGCAAACAGGAUUAGAGACCCUGGUAGUCCACGCUGUAAACGAUGAUGCUGGGUGUGG